rnacentral:rRNA from 1 species
UAUAGAUGGAUCCGCGCUGCAUUAGCUAGUUGGUAAGGUAACGGCUUACCAAGGCAACGAUGCAUAGCCGACCUGAGAGGGUGAUCGGCCACACUGGAACUGAGACACGGUCCAGACUCCUACGGGAGGCAGCAGUAGGGAAUCUUCCGCAAUGGGCGAAAGCCUGACGGAGCAACGCCGCGUGAGUGAUGAAGGUCUUCGGAUCGUAAAACUCUGUUAUUAGGGAAGAACAUAUGUGUAAGUAACUGUGCACAUCUUGACGGUACCUAAUCAGAAAGCCACGGCUAACUACGUGCCAGCAGCCGCGGUAAUACGUAGGUGGCAAGCGUUAUCCGGAAUUAUUGGGCGUAAAGCGCGCGUAG